CACAUAAAUUAUGCCUCUUUACUCAAUAUAUAAUCGUGAUUUGUCUGAAUUUAAAAUCUUCUUUUAAUCAAAAAACAAUAUAAUUUUAAGUUCUGUCGAUGUAAAAUACAACUUGAUGACGUGUAAACAGCUCACAGUUCCCUUCUUCUACUCAAGCGGACAUAUUCAACAGCACGUGUUCAAGGUUUAUCAAGAGCUGUGUUCGUCGCGAACGGCACGACUUUCUGGUGUUAUACACUGUCCUGGCGUUGCAGAUCUAGGGGUUCCAGUUAAGACGUGGUCAGCCUUCUAAAGAAAGUGGGAAUCUCACCGAAAUAUUCAAUUACUUUGCUGUGUUUCUUGCCAGGACUAAGGCUCAAACCAUCAUCUUCUCCUGGUAUCGAAUACCAAGGGACCUUCUGAAGUAAGCUUUAACAAGAUGAGGAGGAGCUCAACGCAGACCUUGCAAUGCAAAUCAUGAAGAUUGCUAUCAUUGGUGAUGGGCCUGCAACCAUCAUCGUUGAGGGAUCCAAGAUCCUGGAGAGGAUUGAUGUUGCCAGAUCCUGUGCUUUGAUGAUGGGAGUAAUCUACGCUCUGAACCUUUCCUAUCCCAAGCAGCUGAAAUUUACCUUUGAGGUAUUUCAAAAGCUAUGCCUUGAGCUUGAUGGACAAAAAGCCAGCCCUAAAGUAAUGAAUCUUAAGUUUGGUAUUUUCUAGAGCAGACUUGAUAGACCAUUCGUGAGUUUCACAAAAACCUUAUUCCUGCAUUUCUGGCACUACUUCAUUGUGUUUUACUAAAUUUUAAAGCGCUGUUCUUAAGUCUUCUGAGUUAAUGUUUUGCCGUGUCUUAAAUGCUGUUAUUUGCACAUUUUUAAGGAAUGCGUUUAAUUUCUCCCAUGACCUGUGUUCUAAGGGUACUGGUGUGUUUUAAAGUUUGUGUAAUGCCCUCUUUAGCUGGCCUUAAUCUUGAGGGUGAAAAGUCAAAUAUAGAAGAGAAUCAAGAAUACUUUGUAAGAGUGCUGACAAAGUUGAAUGAAAGAAGCUUUGCUCAUUUUAUGUUUAAAUUAGUGCAUUUAAUGUAUAGCAGCCUGUCAUCUUUUGUUUUGAUUCACUGUCACAUGUAAAAAAAAAAAGAGGAUUCAAGUAGUAGGUUGUAUUACAAUUUUAAUACACAGUUCCUUAAGUUUCAGCGGGCAAUUUGUGUUCUAGGAAACUGAAGCCCACAAAUCUUGCACUUCGCACGCACGUUAAAGAAUUGUGAUGUUUGUUAUUGUAAUUAAAUGGGUCUAACUCAUUUGAAUACAUCUGUCUGAAUUUCUAUUCUUUCUGAGCACCAGGUACGAGUCCCUUAGCUGAUGUCCAGGUAUUUGGCAUCACAUCUGCCGCAUUCAAACAAAUACACACAACAUCCAUUUCUUUUUCUGAAGGUCAUGACACAAGAGCACACAUAGUGCAUGUUAAGAAUGACCUUCGUUUGGGGAAAAAAGUGAUCGACAAGUUUAUAAGGUCUUAGAACCUUGACUUCUUUGUGGGCAGGCACCACCAUGCAUGAGCCUGCCCACGCGGUAGUCAUGGUUAUAAGACACAGCCAAAUGAUCAAGGUUGUAUUUUGGAGUGACUUAGCCUGCUGGGAAACAGGUAAAUGCCCUUAUAGAAUCUCCUGUAGGACCAAAAAAUUACUACACUGUAACCAAAAUAUCAUAUUUGACCAACAUAAAUACUAUUUAUGCCGACAGUUAAGUUCAUUUUAAUUAUAAAUGUGUUUUAUUUUGAUCAAAAAGUUACUUCACCAUACAUAAAUAUAAUCUUGGAUCAACUUAAAUUCCUGUGUAUUUGUUGACAAUUAUUAAGUUCAUGUUACUCAGAAUGUGUUUUUUUUUUGUGGCCAAAAAGUAACUUCACUAUACAUAAAAUUCACGUUGGAUCAACUUAAAUUUUUGUGUUCUAGUCGAAAAUUAUUAAGUUAAUUUUACUUAGGAAUGUGUUUAAUUGUGGCCAAAAAAGCUACUUCACCAUACUCAAAAAUAUUGCUUUGAAUUAAUGUUAUUCUGCCAGAAGUUGGCUUAACUCAAAAAUUCUAGUGGAAAACGUUAACAUGUUUUUUUUAUUUGAACCAAUGUUUUAUU